UACGUAGGGGGCGAGCGUUGUCCGGAUUUAUUGGGCGUAAAGAGCUCGUAGGUGGUUUGUUACGUCUGCUGUGAAAACCUAGGGCUUAACCCUGGGCUUGCAGUGGAUACGGGCAGACUAGAGGUAGGUAGGGGAGAAUGGAAUUCCUGGUGUAGCGGUGAAAUGCGCAGAUAUCAGGAGGAACACCGGUGGCGAAGGCGGUUCUCUGGGCCUUACCUGACACUGAGGAGCGAAAGCGUGGGGAGCGAACAGG
rnacentral:rRNA from 1 species